rnacentral:sRNA from 1 species
UCAUGAAGGAUGAUGCAGUUUCACCUGACCCAAAAGAUGAUGACAUCUCUUAUUGCUCGCUAUGUGAUUUUGA